AACUGUUCCGAUGGCCGAGUGGUUAGAGCGUCCGCCAUUGGAUGACGGGAGGUCGUUGGUUCGACCCCAAGUCAAGUCA